UUUUAAGUUUUUGACUGCUCAGAUUGAACGCUGGCGGCAGGCCUAACACAUGCAAGUCGAGCGGUAGAGAGAAGCUUGCUUCUCUUGAGAGCGGCGGACGGGUGAGUAAUGCCUAGGAAUCUGCCUGGUAGUGGGGGAUAACGUUCGGAAACGGACGCUAAUACCGCAUACGUCCUACGGGAGAAAGCAGGGGACCUUCGGGCCUUGCGCUAUCAGAUGAGCCUAGGUCGGAUUAGCUAGUUGGUGAGGUAAUGGCUCACCAAGGCGACGAUCCGUAACUGGUCUGAGAGGAUGAUCAGUCACACUGGAACUGAGACACGGUCCAGACUCCUACGGGAGGCAGCAGUGGGGAAUAUUGGACAAUGGGCGAAAGCCUGAUCCAGCCAUGCCGCGUGUGUGAAGAAGGUCUUCGGAUUGUAAACACUUUAAGUUGGGAGGAAGGGUUGUAGAUUAAUACUCUGCAAUUUGACGUCCACAAC
rnacentral:rRNA from 1 species